rnacentral:rRNA from 1 species
AUGCAGUCGUACGCUUCUUUUUCCACCGGAGCUUGCUCCACCGGAAAAAGAAGAGUGGCGAACGGGUGAGUAACACGUGGGUAACCUGCCCAUCAGAAGGGGAUAACACUUGGAAACAGGUGCUAAUACCGUAUAACAAUCGAAACCGCAUGGUUUUGAUUUGAAAGGCGCUUUCGGGUGUCGCUGAUGGAUGGACCCGCGGUGCAUUAGCUAGUUGGUGAGGUAACGGCUCACCAAGGCCACGAUGCAUAGCCGACCUGAGAGGGUGAUCGGCCACAUUGGGACUGAGACACGGCCCAAACUCCUACGGGAGGCAGCAGUAGGGAAUCUUCGGCAAUGGACGAAAGUCUGACCGAGCAACGCCGCGUGAGUGAAGAAGGUUUUCGGAUCGUAAAACUCUGUUGUUAGAGAAGAACAAGGAUGAGAGUAACUGUUCAUCCCUUGACGGUAUCUAACCAGAAAGCCACGGCUAACUACGUGCCAGCAGCCGCGGUAAUACGUAGGUGGCAAGCGUUGUCCGGAUUUAUUGGGCGUAAAGCGAGCGCAGGCGGUUUCUUAAGUCUGAUGUGAAAGCCCCCGGCUCAACCGGGGAGGGUCAUUGGAAACUGGGAGACUUGAGUGCAGAAGAGGAGAGUGGAAUUCCAUGUGUAGCGGUGAAAUGCGUAGAUAUAUGGAGGAACACCAGUGGCGAAGGCGGCUCUCUGGUCUGUAACUGACGCUGAGGCUCGAAAGCGUGGGGAGCAAACAGGAUUAGAUACCCUGGUAGUCCACGCCGUAAACGAUGAGUGCUAAGUGUUGGAGGGUUUCCGCCCUUCAGUGCUGCAGCUAACGCAUUAAGCACUCCGCCUGGGGAGUACGACCGCAAGGUUGAAACUCAAAGGAAUUGACGGGGGCCC